rnacentral:rRNA from 1 species
GGGUCAGUAGGUUGGUCGUGCCACCGGUACGUACUGGUCUCACUGAUUCCUCCUUCCCGAAGAACCGUAAUGCCAUUAAUUUGGUGUUGCGGGGAAACAGGACUGUUACUUUGAAAAAAUUAGAGUGUUUAAAGCAAGCUAACGCUUGAAUACAUUAGCAUGGAAUAAUGAAAUAGGACGAUCGAUCCUAUUUUGCUGGUUUCUAGGAUUGACGUA